GCACCGCAGUCCGGAUUAGGCGCGCCAGACUGUAGCAGCAGCCCUGCCGAAAACUGAUGAGCUGCGUUUGGCGAGUUCCUGCGGCCGCGCGACGACUACUGGCUCGACGAAAAGAAGAAAACACAAAAAAUCUACUUGCUGCUUUGUAAAGACGUGCUCGAGAAGACUUUGCUUAAAACUUUAAUUAUCCAGCUGAAUUUCUUAAACUAUAUUUUUGAUUUUGUACUUGCUGGGAAAAGGAGAGUUUGUAAGAGUUUGAACUUGUUCGGAUUGAACGGAAUAGGAGAUAAACCAUUAAUUUUUGAGCUGCACCAACAACAAUUUGAGUCUGCUUCAAGAACCGGUUUCAAUCUCGUCCGA